rnacentral:lncRNA from 10 species
AUUUGUACCACAGCAACAAGACAUGACGAGUUUCAUAGCUAUAAAAGUUAUUUAAUAUGGGCAAACAAUAUAGUUCUUCAUUUUUAAAAAAUCACAAAGAUAAUAACAGGAAAUGAAAUCUGGGGCAAUGUGUUAAAAGACUAAUUUGGUGUUAUUAGCACUUCAGGUGUGUCAGACUAAAGAAAAGUAGUAGUUAACAGGAAACUCUGUUGAACUGUUCUUUAAAAUGUUUUCAGAAAGUUCUGAUUAAUCUGUUAUAGGUUAGCUACCAGGUUGCCAAACCAUACUAGGUAUAUUGUACCACAGGCCAGUUGAGUUUUCUGUAGCAGGUGAAAUAGAAAACUGAUUCCAACAAAGAAAUUGCUAGAAUAUUAAACCUUCAAAGGACUUCAGAGGUCAUGUUCACUGACCUCUUUAAUACCUGAGGAAAUUCUUAAGUUAAUGAUAUGAAGUCAGAGAGUUAUCAACUAACAGUGCUCAGACCAAAACUGGGAUGCCUGACUCCCUAUCCAAAUGUGCUUUACACUCAUCAUGAUACAGAUGUAAAACCAGGUAUUUUCUAUUUUCUUCUGCUAACGAAUUGAUAGGAUGUUUCUAAUAUAAGUAUUGCUACGAUCGUUCUUUUUGAAAAUUAUUAAUUUUACACAGUGAAAGCAUGUUUUUCCAAGUUAAUUAUCUGAAGUAAUGGACCAUUUAUUUCAAAUGAUUGGUACAUAAUAUUUAACAUUUCCAAUAUCCAUAUCUCCACAAUAGAAACUUGGUCCGAAGUUCACUCCUAGGUGAUGUACUUAAUACCUGUUAGUAACAUUCAUUCAAACCCAGAGUUCUUGGUUCUAAUUUCCUGAGAACAGGGCCUUGCCCUAGGGCACAGCCCCUCAUUGCAUCCCAGCCCUUGUUGGGAGGGCAGCUACCUAUGGUUUGCUGAUAGACUAAACUGUGCCCCCCAAACAAAUUUAUAUGUUGAAGCCCUAACACCCGGUACCUCAGAAUGUGACCUUAUUUGGAGACGGGGCCUUUAAAGAGGUUUCAAAUUAAAUUGAGACUAUUAGGGUGGGUCCUAAUCCAGUCUGACCAGUGUCUUUGUAAGAAGGGGAGAUUAGGACACAGAAACACCAGGUGCAUGUGCUCACAGGGGAAAGACCGUGUGAAGAGCAGUAAGAGGGGAGCAUCUGCAAGCAGAGGAAACCAUCCCUGCUGCACCUUGAUCAUGGACUUCAGCCUCCAGAACUGUGAGAAAUUAUUUCUGUUGUUUAAGCCAUUCAGUCAGUGGUAUUCUGUUAUGUCAAAAGAAUACACAUUACCCUGACUGUUGAUUGAAAUGCCUCUUGGCAAUUUGGCCAUUGUAUUUGCAAGGACCACUCUUUAUGAAAUUGACACAAAGAGGGGCUUAAGUUAGUGGGAACUCUGGACUUACCCAGGGACUACCAUGUAAUCAUUACACUGGAGAGGUUGGCAGGUCUGGAUCAAGCUUAAGAUUUUUUAAAAAAUUGUUAUACAGGAGUGGCGUGGUGGCUCACGCCUGUAAUCCCAGCACUUUGAGAGGCCAAGGUGGGCAGAUCACUUGAAGUCAGGAGUUCAAGACCAGCCUGGCCAACAUGGUGAAACCCCGUCUCUACUAAAAAAUAAAAAUAACGAGCCGGGCAUGAUGGCACAUACCUGUCAGCUACUUGGGAGGCUGAGGAGGAAGAAUCACUUGAACCCGGGGGGCGGAGGCUGCAGUGAACUGAGAUCGCACUAUUGCACUCCAGCCUAGGCGACAAAGCAAGACACUGUCUCAAAAAAAUAAAAAUUAUAUAUAUAUGAUAGUGAGGCUUUGACUUAGAUCUCACAUUCACUCAUUAAAUAUUUGUUGAGUUCCUGGCCAGGCAUUGCCUUGAGCACUAGGAAGAUGGAAAACACAGGCAUGGUCUUUGCUGUCUGGGACUGGAGUGUGAGACAGAUACUAAAAUAGUUACACAAGAUGUGUAAUAUGCAAUGAAAAUGUAUAAUGGGAUAGGGCUAGAAAGUGGGAUGCCAAGGAAGGAGUCCUUGAGGAAGUGACAUUCCAGCUGAAACUUGGAGGUUGAGUAGGAGUAGCCAAAACCAAGUAUGUCAUGUGUAGGAAGGGGAGUAUUAUUAACAGAAGCCUCAAGGCCUCCCCUUCUCAUUGUAGAGAGCUGUAAAACCAACACAUGCCAAUUGUAACCUUGGGUCUGCAACCUAAGUUUAACUCUUAAAACCAAGUUUUGUUAAAUCUCACACUGACAAUGCUGAUAACAAGCUUAUCUUCCCAGGUACAGAAUAAGGAUGAGACAAAAUCAACCACUCUUCUGCCUACCCUGAAACAGAUGAAUAACUGAGUCUUUACUCCCUUUUUUCAGUUUAUCUUAUAUGAAACAUAGAUUUACUGAGCGUUAAUCAGAGCCUCACAAGAAUGUAAUCAUUUGCCUCACUGCCUAACCCCUCUCCCUUUUCCCUCCUCACUCUCUCCCCUAAAUAAUGAGUUUCCAAAACCCUCUUUAGAAAGCUCAGGUCACAGAUGCUCAUGUGGCUUGCGUUUUUUCUCUGGCAUGUCUUUAAACUUUGGCCCAAUAAACCUCUACUGAUUUAAGACACUUGCCUCAGUCACUUUUUUUGGUUAACAGGUUUUCUGAUUCACAAGAAACUUAUAAUGACCUCUGGAAAGACAGAGGUUGUAGGAAGAGGUUUACUCUGAAUUGUAAAUUUUUUAGUAUGCUAAGAUUUUUAACAGUGUACAUUUAUUUUUUCAUUUAAAAAAUAACAAAACAUGACCUAACAAACUUCUGGGAAUU